rnacentral:rRNA from 1 species
UGGGGAAUAUUGGACAAUGGGCGCAAGCCUGAUCCAGCCAUGCCGCGUGAGUGAAGAAGGCCCUAGGGUUGUAAAGCUCUUUCAGCGGGGACAAUAAUGACGGUACCCGCAGAAGAAGCCCCGGCUAACUUCGUGCCAGCAGCCGCGGUAAUACGAAGGGGGCUAGCGUUGUUCGGAUUUACUGGGCGUAAAGCGCGCGUAGGCGGACGUUUAAGUCAGGGGUGAAAUCCCAGGGCUCAACCCUGGAACGGCCUUUGAUACUGGACGUCUGGAGAUCGGGAGAGGUUGGUGGAAUUCCGAGUGUAGAGGUGAAAUUCGUAGAUAUUCGGAGGAACACCAGAAGCGAAGGCGGCCAACUGGCCCGAUACUGACGCUGAGGCGCGAAAGCGUGGGGGGCAAA